ensembl:lncRNA
AGGAGUCGGGUGGGCCGAAGCUUGCUUUUCCAGGUCGAGUGAGCUGCCAAAGUGUUCCUGACAAGACACAGAAACAGCGUGCCAGAAGGUUACUGAAAUGCCAGUAGGAGAUUUCUCGUGACGCUGUUUUGGACACACCCUCAGGAGGCAACACUGCAAAGCUCACCCCAAAGCACAGCAGAACUUCCUGCUCGAGACCAAGUUGCCAAUUUUAGGUUAGGAGCUACAGGUUUGCAAAUAACCAUGAAAUGCAGUGGCAAUAGUUACUACAGGCAUAUAGUAAAUUCCAGUUUACCUUUUUUUCUGAGACCCUGAAAUUGCCUAGGGAGGGGCAGUUUUUGCACAAGAACAGCAGUUUGGUAUCCAGCAUAACUUUUUUUUGACAAAUUUGAAGCAUUUACAGCAAAAUGUGGAUGCGAUCGUUUUUAAGUAAAAUUGCAUGUGAGAAUCUUUAAAAGUUGGCAAAACAGGCUUCUAGUGUUUUGUUCUUAUCCAUGAAGAGAGUUCAACUCUCUAACACAAUAGUUCAUUAAGAGGUAACUUUGAACAUGUCAAGAAAGGUUAGAACUUGAUAUGGUCAUAAUGAACUGAAACUGGUCUUACCAAUAAAUGCUAGGUAACCUUAGUAACAUUUACUGUUAUCACUGUUGCCUAUAUUCUGUUUAGUAGCUUGCCAGAAAACCAAAGUAAAGUGUUUUCCUUACCAAUUUUACAUUCACGUGACUCCCAGUAAUUACAUGGUAAAAGUUAGUUCUUGGUUACCUUUCACAAGGUUGUGUUUUAAGGCCACUCUCUUAAACCUUUAGGUGCAAUGGCUAUUGUGAAGACAAACUUCAGGCACAGUGUUGCCUCGCACCCUGGUUAUUCUCUGACACGGUUUUCUCCAAGCUGAGCAACCAGAGCUCCCCCUGCUGAAGCUGCUGUGACGGAUGCCUGCUCUGCUAAUAACGGGGGUGCGAGGGGGAGCAGCUUUCAGAUGUGCCGUUCUUCAUUAAAUGUGGGAAGUGUCGAUGUUGCCAGGACCUGUUGCGCCACGCGGCUGUUGGCCGUGGGGACGAGGCUCCCCGGUGCGCGCUGCCCCGCGUCUCCCCUGCUGUUCCCAGCCGCGACUCGAGCAGCACCUUCACCUUCGGGCAGCAGCUGAGGAGCUGCUCGCCAGCCUCUGCAGCGUCCUCCCAGUAACUGCACUUCCCGCUUCCUAUCUCAAUGAAGGCUAAAGGUGCUUUGCCUCUGCAAGCUAACAUUCUGUUAAACCCGUGUUCUAAAACUUGCUGGAAUUAAGGCAAAAUGUACUUUUUCUCAGCUACUUGAUUUGAAGCUUAGCUAAUCUUAAUUACGUAGCAUAUUUCCAAGAAGAGUUCUCCUUGUCCACGCAUAUACUGUGCUCCAGUAUAUAGUGUUGGGAAUUCUCUACCACCUACACACCUAUUGUAGGUGGCAAAGAUGGUAUCUGCAGCUGGCAAAGAUGCUCACAAGAAACGCGGACUUAUUUUUACUAAGCUUUUGGUUCGCUCUAAUCUGGUAUUCUACGGAAGGUGCUAGUGACCUGCUAAACUUAAACAAGUCUAUCUUUGACCAAAAUGCUUCUUUGCUAGUCAUUACUGCCCUGUGUCUGUUCUGAUUUUGUUGUAAGAUUUUAGUGAAACGUUCCUUCAAAGUUUACCAGAGAGAGUGUAUUAUAUGCAUAGGACAGCAUUUGGAAAUAAUUUGCUCAAUAUUUGUAGGGGCAGCUACAAUUAGUAACUGCAUAAGCCUUCACAUGGUUUAUAUAUUAAGAUCCUUCUCUGAAUCACUGUCUGAAGGUGGGAGAUCAGCUUCCCAAUGUGAAUACUUCCUUAAUUGCCCAUG